rnacentral:lncRNA from 1 species
UAAUUUUUAGUUAAUUAUCCUACUAUUUUAAUAAUUCAAAAUUAAUGUCAAAACAAAAAGAACAUAAAAAAACAAAAGAACAGAUAAUAAGAGAAUCACUAUUCGGGUGUUUUGAAAAUAAAGUAUUUUUAAAAAUAAUUAAUUAAUUAGUAGUGUACUUGAUGAUUAUAACUUUUUUUAUAUUUUAUUGAAAUUAUUUAUGUUUAUUUAAAUUAAUUAUAAAAGGGUUUAAAAACCACAAAGGCUAAAAAUGCAAAUACCUAAUUCAAUACAAAUGGCUAUUUUUUAAAUUGUUUUAGCCCAAACUGACCUGAUCCAGUCCACACAACCCCAUCUACUCAACCUUGGCAAUCUAGGCUACCCUCCCAAAGCCAAUCAAACUCCGCCAUGUCACUUGUCCCAAUUCACUAACAAAACAAAUACAACUCAUCCUGACCGUUGAUUUAUAUCUUCAACGGAGCAUGAUUAAUCCCAUUUUCCAUUAGUUUUUAAAAGCCCAUCUCAUUUUAUCUCCACCGUUGGAUCACAAGAAUCCAAUGACCAUCGAUUUGAUCCAACGGCUCCCGUUCCAUUUCUUAUUUUUAUCUCUAGAGACGACUAACCCCAACCCCAAACCCUAAUUCAUUUACCCUGCUCACCUAGCAGCCCCUUUUCUCUUUCCUCUCUCUAUUCUCUCAAAUCGUAGACCCAUUAAUCCCAGAAACCUUGUGCCUUCUGACUCCUCGAAUCUCAUCGGUAUCUCCCUAUUACAUCAUAUGAAUUUGAAAUCUCAUGUUACUUACACUCAAAGAUGAAACUUCAUGUCUUCAAGAUCUUCUGGUGCUACAACAAAAUCAGAGCAUGCAUGGCAUCUCAUUAUGUUUAUUCGAAACCAGAGGUACCUCUGGAUUUCCGGUCUUUGUGCGAUGGUAUUUCUUGCCUGCAACGACUCUCUUCAACUCAGGUAAAACUCCUAUGAUUUUCCCCUAUGAUCUUUGGAUUUUCACUCAUUUUGCUCGCAUCAUCAAUCUCUCCAUCACUCUCCACUAUCAAUUUGAAUUUUUGUGGAACCCUAAGGCUUCAAUGGCCACUAUAAAUAAAGCCUUCAAUGCUCUCACCUAACACGACCUACCACCUAAUACAAUAUAGAAAAUGAAAGAGAAUUAAAAACCCCUAAACUUCUCACUGAUUUUAUUUUCUUUCUCCGGUUCUGAGUUUAUACGCAGUCUAGGCUUGAGGUUUGGUUUCUUAGCGGCUAAAUAAAAGGUUUCGCUUGGUUUUAUGCUCUGCGAAAGGUCAGUGUACACCGAUCCUUCUUUUCCCUUCAGUUAUGUGUGUUUAUCUAGUGAUUUUGAUGUUUUCUCUUCGUUCAUAAUGCAUGUUUGAUAAUUUCUAUAUGGCCUAUUAUAUUCUUUGCCAUUCUUAUUAAGUUAAAUGCUUUUCCUCAUGAUAAUCCAUGGUUGCUUUAGUGUUGCUUUGUAACCUGUGACUUAAUUAGAUAACACCCGCUAUAAUGAAAUGGCAAAAAAUACUGUUGAACUCUUGUUACUAGUUUAAAAGGCUUCGGAUGUUCUUUUAACCCUAUCAUCAUGCUUACUUGACUAAACUGUGAUCUCAUACCCAUAUGAUGUUUUGCUAGGAACUUAUGUUUGCUGCUUCUGUAUUACACUAGUUAUAAGGUUAAUUAUGUUAUACUAUUAUUGAUCCAUGUCAUGCUUAAUAUGUUCUGUCAUGUUUUGAUUCUUGAAAAACAUCAUUCUGUAAUGAGCUUGAGUGUCCUCUAUUAGUCCUUGUCUGAAGGAUUCAUGUCUAAGCCGCUAUACUUUUAUUGCUUCAUAGAAGAGUAAGUUGAACUUGCCAGUUUUGACAGCUUAAAAAAUAGAGAAUUUGAGGAGAGAAGCUAUUGUUGGCACUCAUAGGCUUAAACAAAUUCUUAAUGUCUGUUUGCCCAGUUAAAAUAAAUACUAUUCUAUAUUAAUUGAUGACCUCUGUUUGUGUAGGUUUAGUUAUGAAUAUGGAUGUUUUGAUUAAGAAUUUAAGGAACUAAUGAUCCUACUACAAAGUUUCAAUCAUGCUAAGAUUGACCUUCUUGUCUACAUUUAUAUCACUCCCUGAACUGAUCAUACCAAGUUAAACUUUAUCAUGUUUGGGCUGAUGCAUUCACCUGUGUAACUGGACUAGUCAUCUUACUAUUUCUACCCUGCUUAUUCCAUGUGAAACCUCCUUUGUUCUAAACUUUUAUAAUUAAUUUAUUGGAUUGACCCUAUACUCCAUCAUGCUGUAGUUUUACACUCCUUAGGGAUAUCUUUGCAUGAGCUUGAUUGUCUGCUCUUGGACUGCUGUACUCAUUCAUGUUAUCAAACAAACUCUCUGCUUAUAUUUCAUACGCAUUCUUAUGUAUUUUAUUGCCCUAUCACAUAAUGAAUAUUGAACCUUGCUAUGUUUGUAUAAGUGAACUAUAAUUCAUUUGUGGAUUUGAGAGAGCAUUCUAAUGAUAUGUGUUCAGCUCAAGUAGAAUAUUAUGCCUCGACUCUUAAUGAACCCAAUGAGAAUGUGAUAUCAGGAAUGUUUUAAGGAGAAAGCAAUCACCUAUUAGAGUUGAAAUCAAUUUGCUAACUUACAUACUCCUUUUGAUGCUCUCUAAAGUUCCUAUAUAAAACUGUUAAUUCAUACAUCCAUUAGAAUCCAAGACUUGACCUGCGUACAAAUCCCUGAUCAACUUAAGCCUGGAACUGUUAAGCAUGAGGAUCCCCUAUAAAUCUGAACUAUGUACCUCUUUUAUUUCAUACUGCCUGACUCAAUAGUUUGACUUUUCGAAAUGAUCAGCCACUAAUCUUUUCCCUUAAUUAUACAUGUUAUCGUUUUCUUUGGAUGUUCUUCUACAUAUUGGUGGUUCUUAGCAAUGAACUACACAUUGGUGUUUGAAUUGUGAUUUCUUUAGUAUUAUCUGUUAUUACAUUUUCCCAGUAACAUUAAGUAUAGUUUCUAUUGGAAGUACACAUUCCUAAGCUUGUGUAUGAUUGUUAUAGUUGUACUUAAAUUUACAAUGAAGGCCUUAUUGGCAUUUAAACCUAUAGGGAGGAGUAAAUGUGAAUUGUUAGAGGUAUUUAGGAAUGAGAUUUGGUUUGUAGUUGAGAUACUCUCCCUGACACAUUCACUCAUCGGGGUCCUUGAAACCCUUGUGAACUUUGAAGUGCCAGUGGCUCAAAGAGUGUCUUUGAUAUAAAUGGAAUGUCAUGUUAAGCCCUUAAUCAUUGACAUUUGCUAAUCACUUAGGGGUUAGUGUUUAAUGAAGAGAAAGGCUUCAUUGUAAUUUUCCAUACUCUGCUCGAUCUUACACAGUCUUAUUUACAUUUCUCCACCACAAAUAUUUGUUAUAGUCUCAUGUGGACCUUACGUUUGAUCUUAUCUACCUUUAAAUAUUUUUUUUGGGUUUUUGUCACUAAUUUCUACCUUUUUCUCUAGAAUAUGUAACUGAUCUGGGCCUACUGAGUUUUCAAGAACUCAGGCCCAAGUUCAAGCUUUUAGUUUGAAGUCAUGGGAGCCACUGCUGCUUGUCUGCUGUUCGCUGGGCCUAACCUUCUUCAGAACCAGAUUACUGAGUCCAAUUCCCUUUCCUUCCUCAAUAGAUGAAUUGAAUCUAUUAUCUUUUCUUUACAUGAGUAUAAUACUAACGAUAUUGAUUGAAUAUUUUAUUUUUUCUCAAAGGUUUUAGGAGCCUAGGAAAUCCAAGAUCCAUAGGUAAUAAAAUAAAUCACUAUUACAUUACGAUCAGUUAUAAAGUUUCGGCGCUUUGAUCAUUUAUUCUUCAUUACAUAAGAUUUCACUUUUAAUUAUACUAACUAUUUUAAUGGAGUUCUUUGAAGUUCAAAACAGAUUUUGAAAAGUAAAUACAAUUCUUCUUCUAAUGCCGAAAUUAAAAAAGAAGAUUUCAAAGUCAGCUCUUUCUAUAAACAAAAAUCAACACGAUUGGAGUCAAGACUGUUAAACCUUUCAAUGAUUUUUCUUCAAACAUGCUGCUACAAAUUGAAAAACAUUUCCAAAGGUAUAUGCAAGGCCCAUUUCCAAUAGUCGUUACUCUACUAGACCCUUUUACAAGUAACUAUUUUGUAAAGUGUUCAAACAUAGACACAUCUUAUACCUUUGCAAAAUCUUGUAGAUGUAAACAUUUCAAAUGGUUUUUACAAAUUAAACUUAUCUAUUCUUUUUAAAGUACAUAUAUUAUUUCCUUUCAAAAUGUUAAGUAUUUAAAUAUGACAUAGGUAAGCCAUACACUUUAAGCUCUAAUUAAGCAGAAUAUAGACAUCUAAUUCCUUAAACCUAGUCUAAGUCCUAUGGAGCUACCUCGGAUAGAUUUUAGGGGUUGCCUAACACCUUCCUCUUAGAAGAAGAAGAACUCUUACCCAAAUCUCAUCGGUCAGUAGACUAAAAGGAUAAUGAUCUUAAUAAUUAAAUAGGUACCUUAGUAUACCUUUAAAUAUUAGGUGGAGACUGUUUUUUAACAUUAGCAAGGAAGCCACUAGUUGAAUCUUAUUUUGACUCGCACAAAAUAGGAUACAAAAAUACUUACCUCAUUCGAGCUAGUCUUCAAUCUCUAAUUGCGUCAAACCUUGAUCUAGCCGACAAAUCGCCCAAAUCCAAGCCAAACAUCAUCCAAAAUCCCAACAAUGUCAUAUGAAGCGAUCACAAUCCAUAAUGCUUCGGUUAUUAUAGAAAUUCUCAAAGUCAACGAGGGCUCGCAUGCCCAAAAUAUGUAUCCUAUACAAAAAGUCAAUGAUCCAUAAUCUUCCGAGUAUAAAUAUAUAAUUAGUUCCCAAAAUCGAGUCCAAAUUGGUACUCAAAUCCCCAAAAUACACUUUCUUAAAGUGUUUACAAAAACCCUAAUUUUUUCUUCAAAUUUAAAUGUUCUUAGUGUAUAAAUACAUGGGAAAACAAUAUAUAUUAAAAAGCAAAGUAGAAAUUACUUACCCUCUCUUCAAGACGAGAAAAAUGUCAUACAAAUCACCCAAAUCCGAGAUCUAGAGCUCCAAAUAUGUAAAAUACCGAAUGGACAAAGUUUGGAAUAUUGAUAGGAGUGAUUUUCGCUACCGCAGAAAAUAAUCUGCUUUUGUAGGUCCUAAGGGCCUAAGAGUCGCUUCUGCAGUGCAAAACUGCUUCAGCAGCCCUUUUUCUGCAAUUGUGGUGCACCAGCACCAACAAUCUUUCCCAAUACUAAAAUGAGCAUAACUCUGUCAUACGACAUCGAAAUUUGAUGAUUCUUGUUGCUAUGGUUCCGAAAUCACUUUAUGGAUCUAAUAUUUCAACCAAAACACAAUUUAGAGCUCACUUGUUUAAUAUGGUAGCAUUUAUGUUUGAAGAAACUAUGUCAAAACAUCAAAUACGAGUGCAACACAACCCAAACCUAUUCGUAACUCAUCGCAAAAACCUGAUGAAACGUUCAAAUCAAGAUUCCGAGCUUGUUAAGUCUACUAUUUGGUUGUGGUGAACUCAAAUUCUUACGCUUAGCUAGUAUACAACUCAAGUGUCCGAAUCAUUGUUAAAUAUUCCGGAUCAUAGCCAAACAUUGCACACAAGUUCUAAUCAACUAAAUGAACCUAUUAAAGGUCUCAAAACACAUGUUUUGAAAUACGAAAUGAAAAUAUUGUCUGAUUAAUAACAACAGUAACUAAAAAGGAAAGAGACUUCAAGGACUAUGAUCAGAAUAUAGCUCUACCUUGUCUCUCGGCAGCUCACGACAAUCACAGACAACUCUCAACUGGGUCCAACACCUAGAUCUGCACAAUUACGUGUAGAGUGUAGUACGAGUACAACCAAGCCCAUAUACUCAACAAGUAUCAUAUCUUACCUUGGCGAGGUAAUAGUGGAAGGAAUUACCAAUGAUACUCGCUAAUAACCUGCUCAGUUCAUGAAUUUCACAAGUACAUAACAAUGGUACAAUCUAAUCAUAAGAAAGCAGAAUAAAAUCACAUUGGUUAAUAAAGAGAUAAUGUGCCAUGCCCUGUAUAAGUUAUCAAUCAAGCAUAUAAAGAAGAGAUGCAAUAACAAAACAAUGAUCAGUUUUCCGCAUACAGUGUGUUACGCCUUGACCUUGGGGAGCGCGACCGGUGCUCAACCAAGAUAUCCAAAUUAAUCAAGCCUACUAGAUUUUUUCCACCCGACCUUACCCAUGAACAAUGCGAAGAUGAAUAUCAUGAGUUAGACAACAAAAGAGUAACAUGUACAACACAAAUUUCAUUUCUUUUAGAAACCCCAUUUACAGUUCCCAAAAUACAUUACACAUUCAUAGUUUAGAAGUGAAAAUAUGUGUUACAAGUACAACAUUUCUAGUUUGACUUUCUUAAAUACAACCCACACUAUGUCUACGAAGCAUCUAUUUGAUACAAAAGAGUAAUAUGAUAAUGCCGAGGACAAGGCCCUGGCUAUACCUCAAAACACUAUACACACGAAGCAAAAGACACAAGACCCCGAUAUGAAGUGGGGCUCACCAAGUCAGCUGAGAAGAGGGUGUACUGCUAUCACUGAUCGAUAUAGCCUGUUGUGGAACCACCUGCAUCCAUUAAUGAUGCAGUAUCCUGGCAAAAGGGACAUUAGUACUGUCUGGGCGGGUCUCCAUACAUGCCCCAUGAACCCUUGGACGCACCCCAUGGCAUCCUCGCAAGCCUCCUAAUGCUUAGCUCCAUGGAAGAAACUAUGGUCUUGGACGCGUUAAGUGACAAGUGCAGCUGUGCCUAUGUCGCCCCGCCGAUAGCACUCACCAUCGCCCAGCCACAAGCAAAUGCCAACAGCAUCGCGCGCGCAAACUCUGAUGCUAAAGAGAAGGUUGUUGCCAACGGACCUGCUUCUGCUUUAUAGGAAUCUAAGUCAUUUCUAUUGUAAAUAUAGAGUAUUUUUACUUUAUGUAUUUCCAUUAUGUCUCCCAAGCUUAGUUAUGUCAAGUCAUGUACGUUUGGUUUAUUUCUUUUUAAGUACAAUAGACCCUUGUGGUACGACCCUUCCCCAGCCCCCACGCAUAGUGGGAGUUGAGUGCACCAGACUUCCCCUACUAUUAGGGGGGAUCAAUCAAUCAAACUUUCUAGCAAGCAAACAAUUUCUUUUAUGUUCACUCAAUUGCACUUUGCAUUGGUUUUCUUGCAUGACACUGACAAUCUCGUCUAGCGUAUGGAGGGGACCCUAGUUGGCGGAUUAUAACUGCACGGACAUUGGUUUCUUAGCCUUACAUCACCCUUCCAAGGAAUAUCAGGAAGUUGCCGCGUGAAAGUUGGUAUCAAAGACCAAACUCGACAUCAAACGAAGGAACACAUUGCCAUUACCACUAUUUCUGACCAUGGUAAAACACAGGGACCGCAUUGUGGCCCUUGAAGAGACGGUUGACGUAUUAUUACCUAUCGUGAAUACGGUGUCUGAUUUAAGAACCAACCUAGUACAAAGGUUGGAUGACCUAGACCACAGGAUGUGGCAGGCCAAAGGUGACAUCGUGAAUAUCAGUUGUGACUCUGAGGGAGACCGGCAAACGAUAGCCACAUGGCAGCCAAAAGUUUUGGUAAAAUCGAGGGCCACCAACAGGAGAGUAUCAAGGAUUUAGCCUACAUGACACAAGAGACAAACAGGGUGACUGCCAUGCAGCAAACUAUAGACAACUUUAUAGGCCAGCUCAAUUAUGUCAAUGUUGCACUACAAGGCCUAAUUCGAGGAGGCGGAAACCAGGUUGGGGGUGCUGUGAACCCCGCCCAUGUGCCAUAAAAGCUGAAGAUUCCUAAGCCAAAACCAUACAUUGGAGCUCAGAAUUCCAAAUAAGUGGAGAACAUUCUCUUCGACAUCGAACAAUACUUUGAUGUUGUGGGUGAGAUAGAAGAAGCAAAAAAGGUAGCAAUUGCUGCCAUGUAUCUUCAGGGUGAUGCUAAACUCUGGUGGCGUGUGAAAUAGAAAGACAUCAGGGUUGGUGAAGAUACUCUCGAGACAUGGGAAGAACUGAAGUCGGCUAUACGCUUACAGUUCUUCCCCGAAAAUGUUGAGUACAAUGCACGGAGAAUGCUACGGGAGUUUUGCCAGACCAAGUUAGUGCGGGAUUACGUGCACGAAUUCUCUGCGCUCAUGCUGAACAUAUGGGACAUGGGGAACAAAGACAAACUCUUCACAUUCCUAGAUGAUUUGAAACCUUAUGCCCAUAUGGAGCUGCAAAGACAAAGGGUAGACACUUUACCCAAGGCGAUCCAAGUUGCGGAAUGCCUUGGGUACUAUCAAGUGGAAGCUCGGAAGGAUAGGCCUCAAUUGCCCGUCCAAGGGGGAUACAAAGGGGGCCAGCCUGGCAAUGGUGGCCCUAGUAGAAGUGGAGGUGAUCGCUGUGCAACCAAAUCUAAGAAACCUUCCUCAGGAAGCAUUAGUGUUGCAUCUAAAAACAACGGUCGGGGGGAGAAAUUCCCCUUCAGGAUGCCGUCAUUGUGGCAGGCCACAUUGGAAAAAUGAAUGCCCACAUGCACAGAUGAAUUCCUAUCAAAAUUUUGUUGAUGGGACGGAUGACAACACAAAUGAUACUGACCAGACCGAACCGAUCGCUGCCUUCAAUGUACUUAUUUGUUCCAUUUCUGAGACCUUAGCGGAAACCAGUACUUGAAUAUGUAAGAAGAAGGACCCAUGCCCCACCACCGAGAAAGGAAAAAAGACAGCGGAUGAGGGGCCUCCUCUUAUCCAAGGGAAGACCUUGAUAUUCGUCGAGAUGAAAGUUAAUGACAAGCACAUUCGGGCGAUGAUAGACAAAGGCGCUACUCACAACUACUUAGCCUCAACUCAGGUAGAACUCCUUGGUCUAGUUGUGGGAAAGGGCAGAGGUCAUGUCACGACUAUUAACUCACCGCCUCAGUCGGUGGGUGGAAUAGCGAAAGGAGUGAUAGUGAAGCUUGGUCCUUAUGAAGGAAAAGUCAACUUAUGCAUAGUGAUCAUAGAUGAUUUCGAGCUGAUAGUUGUGUUGGAAUUCAUGAGGCAAAGCAAAACCAUUCCAGUACCUUAUGCCGACAUGCUACCGAUGAUGGGAGAAAAUGAGGCUAAGCCCUGCAUUAUUCCACGAACAACCAUAAAGAUGGCUGCUGCGAACAUAUCGGCCUUGUAGUUGAAUAAGGGAGUCAACGACCUACAUUCCUGGCCACCCUCUGUAUUGAAGAUAUAGAAAGCUCCUCGGGUCCCAUUCUUACACCCGUGAAAGAGCUGCUAAUGGAGUUUAAAGAUGUCCUGCCACAGGACAUGCCAACAUGACUCCUGCCUAGGCGCACUUUGGACCAUGAGAUUGAGUUGGUUCCAGGUGCGAUGCCACCUGCCCGGGCGCCUUACAGAAUGUCACAACCCGAGCUCACCGAGCUUCCGAGAUAGUUGGCGGAAAUUCUAGACACGGGGUUCAUUGUGCCCUCCAACUCCCCAUAUGGGUCCCCUCUGCUAUUCCAAAAGAAACAAGAUGCCACCUUACGACUCUGUGUGGAUUAUCGGGCCCUAAACAAAAUUAUUGUGAAGAACAAGCACCCUAUCCCGCUAAUGGAAGACUUGUUCGAUAGAUUGGGUGGUGCCAAAAUGCUCACCAAAAUAGACCUGAAGACAAGUUACUAUCAAGUUCGAAUUGCUGAGGAAGAUGAACACAAAAAGGCCUGUGUGACAAGAUAUGGGGCGUACGACUUCCUGGUUAUGCCAUUCGGCUUGACUAAUGCUCUAGCCAAUUUUGCACAUUGAUGAACCAAGUCUUUCGAGAGUUAAUUGACGAGUUCGUAGUAGUCUACUUGGACGACAUUGUGAUAUAUAGCAAAACAUUGGACAAACACUUGGAGCACUAGCAGAAGGUCCUAACCCGACUGCGAGAGCACGAACUAUAUGUGAAGCUGUCCAAGUGGGCAUUCUCCCAAAUAUAAUUUGACUUCCUCGGACAUGUCAUCGAGGAAAGGCGGAUAAAGAUGGACCAAUAGAAGAUUCAGGCUAUCACAUAUUGGCCUUCGCCUAAGCAAAUCCACAUCUUGAGGGUGUCCCUUGGCCUAUGCAACUUUUAUCGAUGAUUUGGGAAGAAUUACUCUCUCAUUGCAUUGCCGUUAACAGAACUCCUAAAGAAAGUCAUGACUUGGGAUUGAGGUCCCAGGCAAGUGCAGUCCUUCAACACAUUGAAAGCGGUUAUGUCUAGUAGCCCCGUCUUAGACCUUUCUGAAUUGGCCAAGCCAUUUGAAGUACAAACGGAUGCCUCUGACUAUGCUCUGGGCUGAGUCUUGCUACAAGAGACGCAUCCUAUGGCGCACGAGAGCCGGAAUGGCUCUAUUCCACCCACGAAGCCUUGCUACAAAAGGAUGUAGAACGACGCUAUGCUACCCACGAAAAAGAAAUAUUGGUUGUCGUCCAUUGCUUACGCCUUUAGAGGCCCUAUCUCAUGGGAACCCCAUUCGUGGUCAAGACAGACAACAUGGCUAUUAGCCAUUUCAUGACCCAGCCAAAGCUGAAUGGCCGAUAGGCCAGGUGGCAGGAACUCCUACUAGAAUUUCACUUCAACCUGGAGUACCGAAAUGGAAAGACCAACUAAGUAUCUGAUGCGCUCAGUUGAAGGGCUAACUUAGCAUCGGUGUGCCUACUCGCCACCCUAAGGUUGAGAGAAGUGGCCACCACUAUAAGAGACCAAAUAAGAUAUCUACUCCCAAAGGAUCCUACUGCAUAGUAUUUGGCCAAUUUGGUAGGAUAGGGUAAGACUCGGCAGUUCUACAUGGAAGAUGGGUUCCUGAGGUUGAAAUGGAUCCGACUUUAUAUUCCUAAAGGAGGAGAUCUGGGAAAGACUCUUCUGAUGGAAUGCCAUUAUACUUUGUGGCCGUCCAUCCAAGUGAAAAAUGCACUAUGGCGUUGUUGCGUCAUGCUUUUUAUUGGCCUCAAAUAGCUUAUGAUGUUGCUCAGUAUGUGAAGACUUGCCUAGUAUGCCAAAAAGACAUGUCAGGCCGCUUGACACAAGCGGGACUUUUGGAGCCAUUGCCAGUUCCAAAGAGACCUUGGGAAAGCAUUUCCCUAGAUUUCAUCACCGGGUUUCCCAAGGUCAGAGAUUUUACAACUAUCUUGGUUGUGGUAGAUCGGUUUUCCAAUUAUGCUACAUUUAUAGCUGCCCCACAAUAUAUAUCAGCAAAAGAUACAGUUCAACUCUUCUUCUCUCAUGUUAUCAAAUAUUGGGGUCUACCUAAAGACAUCAUUAGUGAUCGUGCCUUUCGCUUCAGUAGCAACUUUUGGACUCAUCUCUUUAAGUGCCUCAGGUCAAAAUUGAGCCGCAUUUCAAGUUUCCUCUAUAAUCUGAUGGCUAGACGGAGCAGUUAAUGCAAUGCUAGAGGAAUAUCUCCGCCAUUUUGAUACCGGACCGCAGAAGAAUUGGUUGAAGCUUCUAGUUAGUGCUCAACUGUGUUUCAAUUCACAAAAGAAAUCUAGUAAAAAUAAAAAGUCUUUUGAAAUUGUUAAAGGACAACAACUGCUACUCCCACACACUGUGAAUGCCCCAAGUAUGUUGAAAUCUCCUCGAGCUGCUAGCUUCUCGAAUGAACAUAAGCGAAAUUUGGAGAUAGUGCGCAGAUAUCUUGUCAAAUCCCUGAAUAACAUGUAGGAGACAAAGUGAUGGUGAAAAUUCCAAAGCGGUACUUGUCUACAUGGGUCCAUGACCCUCGCUAAUUUCAAAAGGCAGAUGUUGGGAAAGUUGCAUACGAGGUGGUUACCCUAGCCUAGUGGAAGAUUCAUCCAGUCAUCCAUGUCAGCCUUCUGAAUCUUUUUGGACAGACAUGGAGGAUCCUUCGUGGAGACAAUUCACAAUACAGAGUAUUCGAGGCCCUAAUUCAACCAAGAGAAAAGGUGGGUAGAAGCUAUUUUUGAAGAUAGAGUGAUUCAUGCUUCAAGGAAAGAUCACCAAGAGUUCCUAGAGAAAUGGCAGGGCUGUGAUACAAAGGAGAAUACUUGGGAGAGGGGAACAAACCUCAAAUCCUACAAGAUCCUGAUCAAAAAUUAUCUUGCAAGUAAGGCACCGAGGACGUCGCCAACUCAGGUGGGGGAGAAUGUCAUGGGUGGCUUUCCAGCCAUGCCCAUGACCCCUUGGACGCGCCCCAUGGCGUUCUAGCAAGCCACCCAACGCCUAGCGCCAUGGAUGGCCCAGUGGUCAUGGACGCCAAGUGACAAGCAUGCAUAUGCAUAUGUCGCCCCACCGAUAGCUCUCGCCAGUUCCCAGUUGCAGGCAAAUACCAAAAGCGCCACAUGCGUAGGCAGCACCGCGCGUGCAGACUCUGAUGCUAAAGAGAAAGUUACUGCCAACGGACCUGCUUCUGCUUUGUAGAAAUCUAAGUCAUUUCUAUUGUAAAUAUAGUGUAUUUUUGCUUCAUGUAUUUCCGUUAUGUCUCUCUAGCUUAGUUAUGUCAAGUCAUGUAACUUUGGUUUUUUUUUUAAAGUACAAUAGACCCUUGUGGUACGGCUCUUCCCCGAACCCCAUGCAUAGCGGGAGCUGAUUGCACCGGGCUUCCCCUACUAUUAGGGGGGAUCAAGCAAUUAAACUUUCUAGCAAGAAAAUAAUUCUCUGUACUAGUGUCUCUCCCCUUCUGUAAUAUCUUUCAGUAAUGCAAUCAAGCUUUUUUUUCAUUCUCAAUUUUCUUUUAUUUUCUCUCAAUUACUCUUUACAUUGGUUUUCCCGUACGGAACUGACAAUCUCGUCAAGCGUAUGGAGGGGUCCCCAGUUGGCGGAUAGUAACAACACGUACAUCAGUUACUUACCCUUACGUCUCCCUUCCAAGGAAUCUCAUGAAGGUAUUGCGUAAUAGUAUACAUGGAAUAUUACUAGUAUGUAAAUCUAAACACCCUCUCAAUGAAUAGAGUAAUAGUACAAAAGGAGAGGAACAUGAAAUCAAUGAGAAAACCAAAUAAUAUUAUAACACCAAGUCAAGAAAGAGGUAAAUCUUCAAGAAAUUAUCAAUGCUUUAGGUUGGGAGAUGUUUGGCACCGAUACACCACCAUGCUUAUAACACGGAGUCUGAUCUCUACUCGAUCAACUAAUCCAUCUACAGCAAAGUAUGAGGCUAAACAUAAACAAACAACACAACCAUGUGCGCGGCAUGGCGUCCGAUCUCUGCCCGAUCAGCUAAGCCGUCUCACCACAAUAUCAUGUGGGUCGACAUCGUCUUCUCUAGAUCUCAACAUAACUCAUCCCAGUUAAGAGGAAUAAUCUCAAUAUAAUAUAAUGGGAAUUUAUCCCUCAAUCAAUCCUUAUACCGGUAUGUAUAGUUUCGGGCUUGGGUGUUUAUGGCCCAGACUUUCUCGGUGACCUAACAAUACUCGCAAAAGCAUUUAUAAAAAAAUAAUCAUAUACUUUUCAUAACAUUUCAUACAUUCUUUCAUUUUCAGUGGCACUCUUGGCCUCAUAUGUAAAUUAUCAUUCUUGGCACAAUGGCCGCAUUUCAUAAUUCAUACUUUUCUUCUUUCAUUUCCUUUCAAGGAUCAUCUUAGAACAUUUAAGGAUAUUUGAAACACUAAGAGAAAUUAUAUCUUCAACUCAUAGACAUGUAUGAACUCAAAACACAUUGAGGGACAAGCAUAAAAGUGGAGAAUAGAAUUAUGCAAUCGAAACAUGAAUCAGACUAUAGGGAUUCGGACCAGCUGACGGCAGAAGCAAAUGUUAAUGACGGAAAUAGGAACUUGAUCAAGCCAUAAUCGAUGUUUACAAGAAAUUCGAGGAACCCAAUUCUACGAAAAGAGUUUAGCCAGCAUACCUCUCUUGAGCUUUCCUUAGGUUACUACAACGUUACGAAGCCUCUAGAGACUUCAAUCUAUUAGGGAUAUGACAAAAUAUACCCAUAAUUAGGAAAUAGUUCAUGUGUUCAGUUCAUCUAUGCAUUUUAUCAAGUAGUGUGCAAUUCGACUACAAGGUUUCUAUGGUGGAAUUCCUUCAUCCCACAACCAAUAGUUAACCCAUAUUAGUUCAACAGUCUCCCUGCCACCUUUCUUUGUUGAAUUCUGAAGGCUCUACCAAGGAAUUGAAGUGGAGGCCUUAAACACAUUGAAAGCGGCUAUGUCUAGUAGCCCCGUCUUGGCCCAUUAUGAUUUGGCCAAGCCAUUUGAAGUACAAACAGAUGCCUCUGACUAUGCUCUGGGCAGAGUCUUUCUACAAGAGGGGCAUCUUGUGGCGUACGAGAGCCGGAACGACACUAUGCCACCCAUGAAGUCUUGCUACAAAAGGAUGUAGAACGGCGCUAUGCCACCCACAAAAACAAAUUAUUGCUUAUCGUCCAUUGCUUACGCCUUUGGAUGCACUAUCUCCUGGGAACCCCAUUCAUGGUCAAGAUAGACAACACGGCUAUUAUCCAUUUCAUGACCCAGCCAAAGCUGAAUGACCGACAGGCCAGAUGACAGGAACUCCAAACGAAAUUUUACUUCAAGCUAGAGUACCUAAAUGGAAAGACCAACCAAGUAUAUUAUGUGCUCAGUUGAAGGGAUAACUUAGCACCGGUGUGCCUACUUGCCACCCUAAGGGGGAGCAAAGUGGCAACCACUAUAAGAGACCAAAUUUGAGAUCUUCUCCCAAAGAAUCCCACUGCACAGUAUUUGGUCAAUUUGGUAGGGUAUGGCAAGACUUGGCAGUUUCACAUGGAAGAUGGGUUCCUGAAGUUGAAAUGGAUCCGACUUUAUAUUCCUAAAGGAAGAUAUCUGGGAAAGAAUCUUCUGAUGGAAUGCCAUGAUACUUUGUGGCCGGCCAUCCAGGUGAAAAAUGCAUUAUGGAGUUGUUGCGUCGUGCUUAUUAUUAGCCUCAAAUGCCUAGCUGGACUUUUGGAGCCAUUGCAUGUUCCAAAGAAACCUUGGGAAAGCAUUUCACUAGAUUUCAUCACUGGGUUUUCCAAGGUCAGAGAUCUUACAACUAUCUUGGAUGUGGUAGAUCGGUUUUCCAAGUACGCUACAUUUGUAGCCGCCCCACAAUAUAUAUCAGCAAAAGAUACAAUUCAACUCUUCUUCUCUCAUGUUGUCAAAUAUUGGGGUCUGCCUAAAGACCUCAUUAGUGAUCGUGACUCUCGCUUCAGUAGCAACUUUUGGACUCAUCUCUUUAAGUGCCUUGGGUCAAAAUUGAGCCACAUUUCAAGUUUCCUCUGCAAUCUAGUGGCUAGACAGAGCAGUUCAAUGGCAUGUUGGAGGAAUAUUUCCGCCAUUUUGAUACCAGAUCGCAGAAGAAUUAGGUGAAGCUUCUGGUUGGUGCUCAACUGUGUUUCAAUUCACAAAAAAGCUCUAGUACAAACAACAAGGUUUUUGAAACUGUUAUCGGAUAACAACUUCUACUCCCACACACUGUGAAUGCCCCAAAUAUGUCAAAAUCUCCUCGAGUUUCUAGCUUCUCGAAUGAACAUAAGCGAAAUUUGGAGAUAGUGCGCAAAUAUCUUGUCAAAGCCCAAAAGCGGAUGAAAAUACAUGCUGAUCAAAAUCGUUGCUUUGUCGAAUAACAAGUAGGAAACAAAGUGAUGGUGAAUAUCCCAAAGCAGUACCUGUCUAUAGAGGUCCAUGACCCUCGCCUAUUUCAAAAGUACUUUGGACCCUUGUCCAUUGAGAAGCGCCUUGGGAAACUUGCAUACGAGGUGGUUACCCUAGCCUAGUGGAAGAUUCAUCUAGUCUUCCAUGUCAGCCUUCUGAAAUGUUUUCGGGAAGAUAUGGAGGAUCCUUCGAGGAGCCAAUUCACAAUACCUAGCAUUCAAGGCCCUAAUUCAACCAAGAGAAAAGGUGGGUAGAAGCUAUUCUCAAUGAUAGAGUGAUUCAUGCUUCAAGGAAAGAUCACCAAGAGUUCCUAGGGAAAUGGCAGGGCUAUGAUGUAGAGGAGAAUACUUGGGAGAGGGGAACAAACCUCAAAUCCUACAGGAUCCUGAUCAAAAAUUAUCUUGCAAGUAAGGCACCAAGGACGUCGCUAACUUAGGUGGGAGAGAAUGUCAUGGGUAGCUUUCCAGCCAUGCCCCAUGACCCCUUGGACGCGCCCCAUGGCGUUCUAGCAAGCCUCCCAAUGCCUAGCGCCAUGGAUGGCCUAGUGGUCAUGGACGCCAAGUGACAAGUGUGCAUGUGCCUAUGUCUCCCCACCGAUAGCCCUCGUCAGCGCCCAGCUGUAGGCAGAUGCCAACAGCGCUGCGUGCGCAGGUAACACCGUGUGUGUAGACUCUGAUGCUAAAGACAAGGUUGCUGCUAACGGACCUAUUUCUCCUUUGUAGGAAUCUAAGUCAUUUCUAUUGUAAAUAUUGAGUAGUUUUACUUCAUGUAUUUUUAUUAUGUCUCUCUAGCUUAGUUAUGUCAAUUCCUAUAAUUUUGGUUUAAGUUUCUAAGUAUUAUUAGGGGAGAUCAAGCAUGCAAACAAUUCUUUAUAUUGGUGUCUCUCCCCCUCAACACCGUGUUUCUUUUCUGCAAUAGCUUUUAUUAAUGCAAUCAAGCUUUCUUUCAUUCUCAAUUCUCUUUCUUGUUCUCUCAAUUGCUGUUGACAUUUGUUUUCCUGUACGGCACUGACAAUCUCGUCAAGCGUACAAAGGAGUCCCCAGUUGGCGGAUAGUAACUGCACGAACAUCAGUUGCUUACCCUAACGUCGCCCUUUCAAGGAAUCUCAGGAAGGCGUCGUGUAACAGUACACAUGGAAUAUUACUAGUAUGUAAAGCUAAACACCCUCUCAAUGAAUAGAGUAACAGUAGAAAAGGAGAGGAACAUGAAAUCAAUGAGAAAACCAAAUAAUAUUAGAACAGCAAGUCAAGAAAGAGGUAAAUCUUCAAGAAAUUAUCAAUGUUUUAGGUUGGGAGAUCUUUAACACCGAUACACCACCAUGCUUAUAGCACGGAGUCUGAUCUCUACUCGAUCGGCUAAUCCAUCUCACAGCAAAGUAUGAGGCUCGACAUAAAAAAAAAUACAACCAUUUGCACGGCAUGACGUCUGGUCUCUGCCCGAUGAGCUAAGCCGUCUCACCACAAUGUCAUGUGGGUCGACAUCGUCUUUGCUAGCUCUCAACUCAACUCAUCCCAAUUAAGGAAAAUAAUCUCAAUAUAAUAUAAUGGGAAUUUAUCUCUCAAUCAAUCCCUACACCGGUAUGUGUAAUUUCGGGCUUGAGUGUUUAUGACCCAGACUUCCUCGGUGACCUAACAAUACUCCCAAAAGCAUUUAUAAAAAAAUGAUCAUAUACUUUUCACAACAUUUCAUACUUUCUUUCAUUUCCAGUGGCACUCUUGGCCUCAUAUGUAAAUCAUCGUUCUUGGCACGAUGGCCGCAUUUCACAAUUCAUACUUUCAUUCUUUCAUUUCCUUUCAAAGAUCAUCUUAGAACAUUUAAGGAUAUUUUAAACACUGAGAGAAAUUAUAUCUUCAGCUCAUAGCAAGUAUGAACUCAAAACACAUUGAGGGACAAGCAUAAAAGAGGAGAAUAGCAUUAUGCAAUCGAAACAUGAAUCUGAUUAUAAGGAUUUGGACCAGCUGACGACAGAAGCAAAUGUUAAUGAUGGAAAUAGGAACUUGAUCAAACCGUAAUCGAUGUUCCCAAUUCUACAAAAAGAGUUUAGCCAAUAUACCUCUCUUGAGCUUCCCUUAGGUAACUAUAACGUUACGAAGCAUUUAGCGACUUCAAUCUAUUAGGGAUAUGACAAAAUAUACCCAUAAUUAGGAAAUGGUUCAUGUGUUCAGUUCAUCUAUGCAUUUUAUCAAGUAGUGUGCAAUUCAACUACAAGGCUUAUAUGGUGGAAUUCCUUCAUCCCACAACCAAUAGUUAACCCGUAUUAGUUCAACAAUCUCCCCACCACCUUUACUGGUAAUGCAUGCCCAAAGAACAACUCCCACUCCUAAUAAUCACACUCCCCAUUACCCAUCUUCUGCGCAAAUUCAAAAUUGAGGACUAGGAUAUGGAACCCUACCUAUUAGAAGAAGACUUGCAAGCUUUAUUUUUUGAAUUCCCAAUGCUCUAGAAGGAAUUGAAGUGGAAGAUGUGGAGAGCUCCUCCUUCUUUCUCUAGUCCAUCCCCUCUCUCUUAGACAUCAAAUUUUUGCUCCCAAAUGACCCACUUAUGCCUUUUAUUAGAAUUGGGUCGCGUUUAAAAAUACACAAAAUGGACCCUCCGAAUUGGAUCUGCAAUCACUGAUGAGACCACGAAACACGUAUGCGGUCCGCAGAAUGGACAACAAAAUGACCUCCAAAAACUUAGGUUGUCCUGGUCCUAUCUGCAGCAGAUCUGCGGUCAGCAAAUCAAUUAUGUGGCUGCGAAAUAGACUGCAAAAUCUCCCUCCGAAAUUUUUUAUGUUGUUUCUAUGAUGAAAGUGUGUUCCGCAAAGUAGUUGUACGGCCGCAUAAUUGACCACAAAAUGACCUCAAAAAUAAGCUUCUCCUGUUCAACUCCGCGGCAGCUCUACAGCCCGCGGAGUAGUUCUGUGGCCGCAUAAGGGACGGUAGUAAUGUCUUGCUCUUCCAAUUACUUCCACCAUGUUCUCAAUUCUUUGCACAACCCAAAACGUCCGUAAUGCGGAGAACUUACUCGCCAUGAAAGUUAUCUAUAACAUUCCAACACACUAUCCUACCUCGACACCCUUAAAACCUCGAGUUCUUGGUAAACUUUUACGGGGCCUUACAUCCUCCCCCCUUAGGAUCAUUCAUCCUCGAAUGAGGAAUAGAGACCGUCCAAAACAUCCAACACUGUUACUCCCACGCACCAGAAAUUCUAAAUUUGACUAACUCCCCAAAUUUUUAAAAACUUUGGCAGUGUCUCCCCUGUAUUUGGGCCUAUCCACCUGUUAGAGAACCCCAUAAACCAAUCCUAACAACAUAUUCAUAAUCCAAUGAUGUAAUCAUAGAAUGAAAAUAACACCAACCAUAACCUCGUAAGCAUUAUAUUACCAAAAGGAGCAUCUUAAACAUAAACUGUACAAAUGUAACAUAAUAUAUGGAAAGUAAGCUCAUAACAUUCUUUCAAAACAUAGCUACUUAGUUAUACAAACAAAUUAGGGUAUUUCCUUCUUAUCUCUUUCACGUCCUCCCAGGUGGCCUCUUCAACUUAUUGGUUUUUCCACAACACUUUCACGGAGGCAAUCUCUUUAUUCCUCAACUUUCAAACUUGUCUAUCAAGAAUGGAAAUCGGAAUUUCCUCAUAAGUUAAUUUUUCAUUAACCUCAAUAGUCUCUACUAGAACAAUGUACGACGAGUCUCCAGCAACCUUCCUCAACAUAGACACAUGAAACAGCGGAUGUACCAAGGAAAUCUCUGGAGGUAGCUCGAGCAUGUAAGCCCCUUGACCAAUCCUCUGAAUGAUUCUGUACGGUCCAACAUACCUCGGGCUCAAUUUCCCUUUAUUCCCAAAUCACAUUAUACCCUUCAUGGGCAAAACCUUCAAGAAUACUCAAUCAUCCUCUUUGAACUCCAAAUCUCUGUAACACACAUCCGAAUAGGACUUCUGGCGACUCUGAGCAGUUUUCAACCGUUCCUUAAUGGUCUUAACCUUCUCCAUAGCCUGAUGCACGAGGUCUGGCCCUAUAACCUCUGCUUCCCCAAUUUAAAACCACCCAAUGGGAGAUCUACAUCUCCUACCACAUAUAGCCUUGAACGGUGCAAUCCGAAUGCUAGCAUGGUAAUUGUAAUUUUUGGCAAAUUCUAUGAGCGGCAAAUGAUCAUCCCAGCUACCCUUACAAUUAAGAACACAAGCACACACCAUAUCCUCAAGCAUCUGAAUAGUCCGCUCACCUUGUCCAUCUAUCUAUGGAUGGAAGGUUGUACUAAGAUACACAUGAGUACCCAAACCUUGCCGAAAUUUCUUCCAAAAGUUAGUUGUGAACUGUACCCCCCAAUCAGAGAUAAUAGAAACUGGAGUGCCAUGCAACCUAACUAUUUCCUUGAUAUACAACUGAGCUAAUGUUCUGCUGUGUUGGUAGCCUUAACAGGUAAGACGUUUGCUGAUUUCGUAAGUUGAUCCACAAUCACCCAAAUAGAAUCAAACUUACGAGGUGUAUGAGGUAGACCUACUACAAAGUACAUAUUGAUCAUCUCCCACUUCCACAUUGGAAUUUCUAUAUUAUGUGACAAUCCACUGGGCUUCUAGUGCUCUCCAUCACUUAUUGACAAUUUAGAAAUCUAGCCACAAAGUCCGAGACAUCCCUUUUCAUGUCAUUCCACCAAUAUAUUUCUUUGAGAUAGUGGUAUAUUUUCGUAGAGUCCGGGUGCACGAAAUACCUAGAAUUGUGACGCUCAGUCAUUAUGCUUUCUCAGAGACCAUCUACAUCUAGAAAACAUAAUGGCCCUUGGUACCUUAGCGUACUAUCAUUCAUGCCAAGAGAAAAAUCCAUGUUUUGUGUUUAUGAAUCCCCUCCUUCAAUUGCACCAACAAUGGAUCAUUGUAUUGUUUCUCCUUGACCUCUACUACAAGUGAUGAUUCAGCUCUAUUUUGCACAAUUACCUCACCUUUCCUAGAGUCCGUGAGCUGAACUGCCAAACCAGCCAGCCGGUGAACAUUCUUUGCCAACAGCCUUCAAUGUUCCUCCAAGUGAGCCAAACUACCCAUGGAUUUUCAGCUAAGAGCAUCUGCCACAACAUUAGCCUUCCCCAGAUGAUAUUGAAUAUCGAUGUCAUAGUCCUUGAGUAAAUCGAGCCAUCUUUUAUGUCUCAUAUUCAAUUUCUUCUAGUUGAAUAUAUAUUGAAGGCUCUUGUGGUCCAUGAAUAUGUCCACACGAGCCCCAUAGAAAUAAUGACGCCAAAUCUUCAAUAAAAAUACCAUCGACGCAAGCUCUAAGUCAUAUGUCGGAUAAUUCUUCUCAUGAUUCUUGAGUUGCCUAGAAGCAUAAGCGAUCACCUCGCCAUGUUGCAUCACUACACACCCAAGCCCAAUCCUUGAAGCAUCACAAAAUACCACAAAUAUAUCCAUACCUUUUUGUAAGGUCAACACCGGUGUCGUAGUCAAUCUUGAUUUCAACUCUUGGAAGCUUUUUUCACAAGCAUCUGACCAUAGGAGCUUAACCGCCUACUGCGUCAAUUUAGUCAAUGGAGAGACAAGAGUAGAGAACCCCUUCAUAAAUCUCUUGUAAUACCCAGCUAAGCCCAAGAAACUGCAAAUCUCCAUUGGAGUUGUAGGUCUAGGCCAAUUUUUCACAGCUACGACCUUCUGAGGAUCAACCUUGAUCCCCUCCCUAGAGACGACAUGACCCAAGAAAGUGACAGAUUCAAGCCAAAAUUCACACUUCGAAAACUUCGCAUACAAUUUAUGCUGAUUUAGAGUUUGCAAAACUGCCCUAAGAUAAUCGGCAUGGUCGUUAUGACUUCGCGAAUUGAAAAGGAUGUCGUCAAUGAAUUCUAUCACAAAAGAGUCGGGAAAAGGCUUGAAGACUUGAUUCAUAAGAUCCAUGAAAGCUGUCGAGGCAUUCGUUAGCCCGAACGACAUCACCAAAUAUUCCAAAUGCCCAUACAAGGUCUUGAAAGGUGUUUUUGGAAUAUCCUACUCCCUAAUCUUCAAUUGGUGAUACCACGAUAUCAAGUCAAUCUUUGAGAAGUACUUAGCGCCUUGCAACUAAUCAAACAAGUCGUCUAUCCUCGGCAGUGGAUAGUUUUUCUUGGUUGUGGCCUUGUUGAGCUGCCAAUAGUCAAUACACAUUCUCACUGAUCCAUCCUUCUUUCUUACAAAGAGAACGUGUGCACCCCAAGGUGAUACACUCGACCGGAUGAAACCUUUCUCUAACAAAUCCUUCAACUGCUCCUUUAGUUCUAUCAAUUCUGCCGGCGCCAUUUUGUAGGGUGGAAUGGAUAUAGGCUGCGUGCCUGGCAUCACAUCGAUCCCAAAAUCAAUCUCCCUGUAUGGUGGGAUCCUAGGGAGCUCAUCAAGAAAGACCUUUGGAAAUUUGUUCACAACUGGCAUAGACUCAAGUAUAGGUGCCUCAGCAUCAGUGUCUAUAACUGGAUCAAAUGAUAAAUACACCCCUUGUUGAUCAACUUCGUGGCCUUAAGGUAAGAAAUAAACCUACCCUUCGGCACUACAUCAUUCCCCUACCACUCAAUGACUGGCUCUUCUGGAAACUCAAACCUGACGAUUCUAGUUCGACAAUCAAUCUUGGAAAAACAUGAAUAGAGCAAGUCCAUACCCUUUAUCACAUCAAAAUCAACCAUCCCCAAAUCAGUGAGAUCGGCAUGGUGUCUCGACCAUGCAUCGUGACAACACAAUCCCUAUAAACCCACGUGGCCAUAAUAGACUCACCAAUUGGAGUAGAUACUGAGAACGGCUCAUGAAGCUGUUCCGGUUCUAUCCCGAAUUCUAAAGCAACAUAAGGAGUGACAUAUGACAAAGUGGAACCAGGAUCUAUAAGAGAAUAUACAUUAUGAGAUUGGACAGUCAAUAUACUUGUGACAACAUAUGGAGAAGUCUCUGAACUAUGGCGACCCCUCAAAGCAUAUAAUCGGAUGGGUCCUCCCAAUAUUUAUGCACCACCCCUAGCUGCAUCAUGCCCUGUGGGUGAUGGAGUACCUCGAGCUGGAGGAGGUGCUGCAGAUGUCGUAGCUACAGAACUAGCUGGUUGUGCCGUACCCCUACCCACAUUCUGGCGGGAUGAUGGCAAACCCUCCGAAUGUGACCCAUAACGUUCCACCCGUAGUAUUUGAGUAGGUCUAUGUAGCAUACCCGUAAAUGCAUCUUCCCACACCUAGGGAAUAGGGGUAUCCGCUGCUGGUAAGAUCCUUUGUUGUCUUGACUGGGACUGAAACAAUUCCAUUGCUGCUGACUGGGCCCUGAUGGCGGUGCACUGACUAAAGACUGAGCAAAGGACUGGCUUGGUCUGGAUGACCCUCCCCUAAAUACUGACCUUCCACCACUACCACCACUAGAAGAACCACCAACGUUGUCCGCGGACCAAACUUUCUUGUUACCCUCGCGCUCCAUUUUGGCCUUCAAUCUUCGGGUCUCUGUGUCUUGGAAACAUGUAUAUAGCCUGGCUUGUCACGCCGCAUGUGCAAAUAUCGAUAAUAAUAAUAGAACGGACAACUCACUUGCAAACACCUCGACAAGUCCUCUGAACAACAUCACAUGUGCCUAAAACAUAACAACAAAAUAUAUAACAACUCACACCACAUGUACGUAUAUGAGACAACAUUUCUUACAAACAAGUCCAAUACCAUAACAACACAUAGCCCUCGGCGUAACAACACUGAAUACAACAACAACAAUAACUCGGAAGUACGUCAAAUAAAUCAACACAAGAAUUACAAAACACAAUGAAAUGGUAGAACGAGCUCACAAUAAAAGACAUAACAAGUAGUAAUGGGUUCAAAUAAGAAUAACUUGACAAUGAUAAUGUGUAACAAUGAUAUCGAAUAAGAAUAACUCAAUGAUAGGAGAGAUAACAUAGAACAAUGAUAUCAAAUAAGAAUAACUCAACAAUAGGAGAGAUAACAUUUAACAACGAUUUUCAACCAAUGAUAAAUCACAACGGAAGAGAAAACAUGGAAUAAUGACUGCAAUUAAGGAGUACCAAUUACGGAAGAGAUUACACCUGACAAUAGCUUCAAAUAAGGAUAAUCAACCAUGGAAGAGACAAUAUGUAACAAUAAAGAGGCAACAAAUACAAUUUAAAGCAUGUGAGAGUAUAUUUGGCAACAAAAGAUAGGACAUGAACCAAUAACUUCAAAUAGGGCAUGUAAGGGUAAAUUUAACAAUGAAGGAUAUAACAUGAUAAAUCAACUUCAUUUUUAUGUACAUAAGAACCUAAGAGUCUAAAAUGGUCAAUAUUUUACAUAUAAGUCGUGUACACACUCGUCACCUCAUGUACACGUCUUUCACGAAGUUCAAAUAGUGCAAAUAAACUAAUCCCUAGGGGGUGGUUCCCCCAAACUAUGUUAGGUAAGAUACUUACCUCAAAAGCCCUCAAUCAUUAAUCUAGAUAGCUUUGCCUUUAAAAUUCACCUUCGCUCGGCUCAAAUCUAACCAAAACCGACUCAAUAACAUCAAAUAAUGCAAGGGAAAUCAAUACCAAUAAUUAAAGCUAUGAUCUUUAUACAAUUCCUCGAAAGUCAAAAAAAGGUCAACCCCAGGCUCGCACGGUCAAAACCCGGGUCCAAGGGUAGGUUCCGACUACCCAUAACCCCACGAGUCUAUACAUGUGUUUUGUUUAAAAAAUCAAAGUCCAAAUCGACUCUCAAACUCUCAUUUUUCAAAAUAUAGACAAUAUUUCUCAAAAUUUCACUUUGCUUCUCAUAAUUUUGAUGUUAAAACUCACAUAUAAUCAUGUAAAAUAGUUGGAAACUGAACAAAAAUCACUUACCCAAUGAUUGCAGAUGAAAAUCCCUCUUAAAAAUCGCCUCCUACGGAGUCUAGGGUUCCAAAAUAUAAAAACGAGACCAAAUUGCCGUCCCUCAGCUUUUGUGUCCAGUCGUAGAUGUCGCAAAUGCGAGAAAAUGAUCGCAAAGCGGAAUGACCUCACACACUUUUUUUCAUUGCAAUUGCGAUGAAUAAUUCGCAAUUACGAACAUUGGAGACUUUUCAAAUGCGACCAUUAAAAUCGCAAAUGCGAACAAACUCACACAGGGGGCCCCCCAUCGCAAAUGCGAACUCUGGGUCAACAAAUGCGAACCUUGCAGACGUAGCCUAAUAUCGAUGCAACAUAUAUCUUGCAAAUGCGGACCUCCAAUACCUGAUCAACACCAACAACACUAAAACUCAUCCAAAUACUAUGAAACGUGUACGAAACUCACCCGAGCCCUCGGGGCUCCACACCGAAUAUCAACACAAGAGUAAAAAUAUAACCCAAACUCGCUCGCGCGAUCAAAACAUCAAAAUAACAUAAAAACCAUGAAUCAGACCUCCAAAACACAUGAAAUCAACAUGAAACUCAAGAACUUCUAAAAACACAACCGCGCGUCCUAUUCCUAUCAAAUUAACUCUGAAUGAUGCCAAACUUUGCGAACAAGUUUCAUAUGACAAAAUAUACCUAUUCCAAGUCCCAAAACAUAAAUCCAAACACAAGAGCUAUGAAGUCAACCUACGGUCAAACUUAUCAAAAUUCUAAGCCUUUAAAUUGCCAACUUUCGACAAAACAACACAAAUCAACCUAACGAAUUCGAUUCUGGGCAUACGUUAAAGUCCAAAAUUGCGAUACGAACCUAUUGGAGCCAUCAAAAUAUCAUUCCUGGGUCGUUUUCACAAAAGUCAAACCUCGAUCAACAUUUUAAACUUAAGCUUCUAAAGUGAGAAUCACUCAUUCAAAUUCAUCCUGAAAUAUCUAAAAAUAAAAUCUGGCCAUGCAUAUAAGUAUCCCAUGAACGGAGACCUCAAACCACUGAACAUAACAUUAAAGCUCUAAAUGACCGGUCGGGUCGUUACAAAAAAUAUACUAAAGAUAAACUCACCAUGCGAAAGGUAUCAUUGGGGUUAUCAGAUAAGUAAAGGAAUAUCAGACGACUAAAUAAUUAGGCCAGUUAGAGUAGGUAAAGUCGAGAAUCAAGGAUGUUUUAUUAUUACAUCGAAGGAGACAUGAAAUGGAAUGUUGUGAGAGGUUUUUAUGAAACAAAAUUGAGCAAUAUGAGUGAAUUGGGAAGACUAUUAAGGGACGCAAUUACGAAAGUACAUUAAGAUUCGUAGGCAAGUAAUCUCUGAGGUUACAAAGCAAUAUGGUCCACGUCUUCAUUAGAAAGGUGGAUUAGUAAUUUUAAUGGGGAUUAUUGGAAGGUCAAUUUAACCAUAUAGAUGUGAGGUGCCUCUAUCGAAUGAUGACUUGGGAUGAACUAAAACUAAGGUAUCGAUUGGAGAUUCAAAGGACUCUCACAAUAGCUAACAUUACAGUGAUAGAAAGAGUGAAUAAUUAGAAGGAAGAAGAGGAUUAGUGGGAGAAGAACCCUAAAAGAAAUUUAUAGAGAUCUCUUUGACCAGCCACAUGAAUUAAAGUUAAACUUGUCGAAAGAAGGCAUGCCAGCAAGAACGUAUGACUCGCUACGUAUAUGGACCCCCAUAAAUAGUCUCAGAGGAAAAAAGGUUACCCAUAGGUCAAUCUUAAACUACCAUGCAUACAGACCUAAGAAAGGCGGAAAGACGAGUAGUACUUCAAGCGUGAAUCAUUGGACUAUUUCCCUAAAGGGGAAAUGAGGUGGUAAAGCACUAAGUUGAGAGCACAUUUAUUUAACAAUGAAAUAAUGGGAGGAUUAGGACAAAAAGGAGUAUAAGAAACUUUAAAGUGACGCACGGGUAUAAAUGAUGUGGAAAAGAGACGAUAUGUGUUAAUAAAUUGACAAAAAGCAUAGUCAAACACUUUAUACAUGGAAAUGUUAACCGGAAGAAUGUGUUAAACUUGGUUGAUAUGACUCCAAAUGAAAUUGUUGAGAUUUAAUUGAGAAGGAAGAAAAAUCAUAAAGAGAUAGAAAGGGAUCCAAGUACAAUGACUCUUGAAAUUAAAUAUAGACCAUGUUGAUAUCUAAAUGUUGAAACCAUGCAGGAUAGUCGAGAUGAAAGCAAGAACACGGGAAUUAGUACGAUAUUUCAAGGAAACCCCUAAAGAAGAGAAACCAUCAAAGUGAAAACAACAAAGUCGACAUCAAAGAUAAGACUUAGGAUAGGCAAUAAGAAAAGGAAGUAGAAUGAAGUAUUAUGAAGGUAAGCUGUUUUACAAUGUCAGAUUCUUCUAUAAAUCGGAACCCAACCAACCAAGAAAUAUAUCAAAUGUAUAUGGUAACAACAAUAUUGAAAUCAAUAGAUGAGGUCCAAAACUAUAUAUACGAGAAAUUCAGAAUGUGUGGGAAUAAGAUCAGAGUUGCAAACAAAAUAUCAUAAUUUAAGCCAAAUAAGAAGCCGUUAACAACUAGGGGAAGUGAGAAAAAUAAGGAGGAAUGGAGAACCAUAAUUGUGUACAUGUUUCAUAUAAGACAGUUUAGAACUAGAAUAGAAAGAGCGGAAUCAAUAUUGUAACAGAUGCGUUUAGUCAUAAGUCACGGGUUGUUUGAAAAAUGAGGAAGCCCAAAAGGAAAAAGGGUUGACUAGAGGUCUUCACUAAUUAACGGUUUGGGGUACGCUUGGAAGAGUCAGUAAUAAAGGUAUAAUGGCCUAGAAUAUGACAGAGUUAUCUCUUAUAGAUAUGGAAGAUCCCCGUUUAAGGGAAAGUUAAAAGGGGUAUUCGGCAAGAGGAAACUACAACUUUUGAGUCUAUUGAAUGAGGGAUCUUGAAAUAUCAUGACCAACCGCACAUUAGGACAGAGGUUCAUUAUUUAGGAUAUUCUAUUUGUCUCGGAACGUCAAAGAUAUACCAUGAGGUCAAAGGAUUACAUUGGAAGGACGAGAUGAGAAAAUCAUUGUAUGGCUCAUGGCUUAAUAUUCCAGUUGCUAAUCGGACAAAAUAGAACAUCAGGAAUCCAAUGGACUGACAUAGAAUACUGUAACCCAAUAUGGAAAUGCAAAGUGAUUAGCAUAAGAUUCCUUACAAAUUUAGCAAGUUCUAUUCCACAUGCACGACUGUGGUUAGAUUGAUAAAAAAAAUAAGCUUACUUUUACUGGACAAAUUACCAAGGUUUAUGUAAAACGGAAGGGUGCAGAAGGUAGAUCAGGUACAUUUUAUUUCUGCCUUGAUUAUGCUUAAUAGAGGUUCUCAGAUACAGAUAAAUUCUAAAAGUCCUCUCAAGAAACUUGGGUACAUAAGAUAAUUCUAGUAAGUGAAGCGUACAAUUCCGAUGCUCAAAGAUAUGUUACAAGCUAAGAUGCCAAAUUUAACAGAAAGAUGGGAUGAUCAAUUACUAACUAUUGAGGAGCGCACAAAAAUAAUUAUAGUUGUAUUUAUACAUGCGGGAGGAUUAUACGGAUACAUUUUAAACUGUACGGAGUAGCUCCUUAUAAAGCAUGAUGCAGAAGGAAAUGUAGAUUCCCCAUAAGACAAUUUGAAAGACAUAAUUGUUUGACCGGACUUAAUGAUUCAAGUUAUAGAAAAUUCAGCCUUAUUCAAGAGUGUUUUUUCUUAGAAGCGUCAUAGAUGGAACCCCAACACGCGAUAACAAGACUUAAGGAAAUAUCGAUUUAAUAAUGAGGUGUUUCGAAAUUAUUUCUCACGAAGAGCAUAAUAACAUACCGGGACAAGCUAAUUAAGACAUAUAAAUCCACAUCCAAACUACCCAGAGAAGAGAAUAAAUUAAAUCUUCUCUUAGAAUUAGGAUCCGUUCACCUGGCUAUCGUGUUUCGAUAUAGAAGGAAUGCAUUAAAUGAUAUACAAGUAGUAGAGGGUCGAUUUUAUGAGAAAAUUUUAGUAGCUAUUAACGAAUCAGGAAUCUAUUUUGUAGAAGCACAUGAUGUUCAGAUUACAAAGAACCUAUCUUAUGAAGAGGUUCUAUUUGUUAUUUUAGAUCGGCAGUCCACAAGUUGGGGACCAAGAAAGUGACUUUCGUAAAGAUAUCAUGGAGGAAUACGAAUUUUGAAUGUAAGACGUGGGAAGUUGAAGAAGCGUUGAUUCUAAGUACCCUCAGUUGGUUCAGAUAGAAGAUUCUUGACGACUGUAGCUCGGUCAUGUGUUUUCUUAACCCGUGUUUUGUGAUUUUGAUUAACACUCAUUCUAUUAUUAACCGAUAUUUAGAAUUGAAGAGUUACAAUGUUUUCAAGAUUAGGUUUAUUUAGAAACAAGGUAUGGGAUAGUCCUAUUUCCAGAGGAGACUCUCGAAAUUUCCGUAAAAUCCGCAAGGGCUAGUUUCUUCUCUAAGACUCCUUUACAUUCGAGGACGAAUGUUCCAAAUAGGGGAAAAGACGUUACACCUCGUACUUUUAUGUUAGAAUUCAUAUUAAGUGAAUCAAUAUGAGUUGGAGAGUCGAAGGACCUUUACAAAGAUAAUGAUGGGUUAAAACAAGUUCUAAGGAAGUAUCAUGAGGGUUGAAAGAUUAAGAAGCUAAACGAAUCGAAGAAAAUAAGUUUCAUCGAAAAUCGACAAGUUAAACAUGUUAUAACCCGUACUUUUAGGGUGAGACUAGGGUUCUUAAGAUGAUAAGAAGCUAAUGUUAUGAGGUAUUUUUUUGUAUUAUAGUCGUGUGUUAUAUUUUAAAGUCAAACGAAUUGUUAAACAAAAGUAGUCACAAGUUAUGUUGAUAAAGUUUAAUGAAAUUUAGGUCAAAUGUCACUAAGCGUUUCUUUCAACGUACAUGGAUUUACGGGGUGAUCCACCCACCAAAUUGAAUAUAUACGAGUGUAGUUUCUAAUGCAUUAAAUUGUUCGUCGAUACAACAUUGUAGUAUAGAGAUACGUGUUCGCAAGAGUGCACAAGCAGCUCCCUAUGGGAGCCACUUAGGCGGUUGAGAUAUCUUGAUAUAUAUGUGACACAUACAGCCCGUUUUCACUCACUAUUUUUAAUUAUAUUUAGACCCUUGACACCUAAAAACCUUCUCUCAAAGUUAUCGCAUGAUCCAAGACCCAUACAAAGGACAAACAACUUAAAUCAAGUGUCGGAAAUCCCGUGGCGCUAGUGAGUUUCUUGUUCUUCUUGUAGUUGUUGAUUUUGGUGUGGUUCCAGCUCGUGUUGGGGGUUAUUUUGAGUGUUUUAUGUUCUGUAAAAUACUCUCCCAAGUUUUUCAUAUCAACCCUAGGUGAUUUCAGGUCUUCCAAAGUGAUUCUAGUGUCGAGAAACCCGAAGUGCUUGCUAGUUUGGCUUCCUUCUUUUUGUGGCUGCGUUGGAAGGAUACUUCAUGGUGAAAUAAAGUAAUCUCAAAUUGGAGUUGUUAUAUCUGUUUUAAGGUGAGUAACCUCUUACUCUAUAUGUAUUUAAGCUUAUCCAAGUUGCGGCUAAGUCGUUGAAGCUAGAACUUGUGAGAUAUCUGUCGAAAGGCUUGUUAAUACUGUUGUUGAUUGGUGGACUGUUUGGGAGGCUUAAUACGAUUAUUAUUAUUAAUGUUGUUUGGGAUUUUUAGUGAAUGUGGUGACUUGUGGGAAGUCAAAUAAAUAGGGGAGAUGUUAUCCGUUUUAUCAUAAAAUAGGUUGCGAUCGAUAUAUAAUAGUUACGACGCUUAAACGAUAAUGAUAGUAUCAUUUCUCAUAUUGUAGACUGAGAGAUGUGAAAUUUGCAUAGCUUGUGGUUUGGAAGUAUAUACAAGGUCUGGGAGGCUAUCCGUUUCAUUCUUUUGCACGACUCUGAUGGUAAGUAGCGUAAAUAAACGUGCUUCCAAAGAUACUCCAUUCUUAGAAGCUAGCAGUACUUACAUUGUUUCCCUUCUUAUGAAAUGAUUGGUGUUAAUGUUGCUUUUCUUAUUCUUAUGUUGUCAAUAUUGUUGGUAUUUCCUGAUUCUUAUAAAAUUCAUGAUGACGAGUUAGCUCCAAUAACGUAUACGGAGGUUAUAGAACUUACGUCACUCCGAAAGGUUCAGAAUGUGAUUCCCAUUAGUCUAGCAUGCAUUAUAUAUAUGUACCUAAUUUACACUACCGAGCCCCGCUAUAGUCGGCCGGAUACGACACCUAUUGUGCCACCACUGAUCAGUUGGGUUUUACUGAGCUCCAAGUGGCCGAGUAUGAUUCUACUCAGCCUUGUGAUGACUGGGUAUGUUUUUACCGAGUCCGCUUCGAGGCCUGGUAUGAUAUGAUGAUGAUGAUGAUGAUGAUGAUGAUGACCAUAGAGCCGUAUGGUUUUAAAAGUAUAUGUGUAUAUAUAUAUGUAUCAUGCAUUUUCUGUCCGUCGCCCUCAGAGGCACUCAGAUGUUACACAUUGUCUCUUCUCUAUCUCUCUUUACAUUAUUGUUCUUAUUUAUGCUUUCCUGCCUUAUAUACACAUUACUUUAUUCAUACUGAUGUCUCUUUUAUUUAUGGGCGCCGCAUUUCAUGUAGCAAUUCUGGAUAGAUAGAUUGACGGUAUUCACAGUACGCUACCAGUUCAGCAUGAAGUGCUGUUGCACUCUAAUUGUCUCGAAGUUGCCUUUCGAGUCAGUAUACUUAUGUACAUAUAUUUAUGGUUAUGGUGGGGCCAUGUCCCAACCUUAUGCUUUUAUGUAAUCCUUAGAGUCUUGUAGAUAGAUAUCAUGUGUAUAAAUAUUUUGUUCGGCCUUGUAGGCCCCCGUGUAUCUCAUGUAUAUCAUUUUGGGUUUG